UGUAUACCAUUUCACCGAAAACCAUUUCGCGAAAUUUUUUUCGCGGUGUAACAUUUCGCGGAAUGAACCAUUUCGCAGAAUGCCAUUUCGCGGAAUGACUUUUCGCGGAAUGUACUGUUUCGCGGAGUACUAUUUCGCGGAAUUUAAUGUUCUGCACAUAAAUAAUUACCCGACCAGAAGCUCCUAACAAGAUUAUAACAAAAUUAUUACAACCGUUGUUAGAAAUAACACAAUUUGAUAUAAUUUUAUUGUAAGGAUUCGUUUAUGUAAAUAGCCAUAACAAAAUUGUAACAAGAUUUGUUAUUAUUUUUAAAACAAAACUUCUAUUAUUUAUUCAAACAGAGAUAUAACAGCAUUUGUUACAUUAUGCUUGUUAAAAUAAGUGCCUAUAACAAAAUUUCGUAACACAUUUUUUGGAACAAAAUAAUUUUAAAAUAUGUUAGGUUUUUUGUAUUGGCGCAAAAUAGUUUUAUCAUUUCUGAAAUAUUGACCACUCCAGUCAAAAACCAUAAAACAAAACUUAUUGCAUUCAUUUAGAACACAACGUUAAAAUCGUCAUGUUUUAACAAUCCCUCCCCUUCCGUUACGCUUGUUUGUAUGAGCGACGCGUAAUUGGCAUCAUAUUUGUUUUAAAAAAAUGCAUCAGAGUUAUCAUUUGGUUAUAAUCUGUCAAAUUCUUCCCAAACCAGCAGUGCUUUGAAGCUACUAUCAUUAUGUGAUAUCAUUACCGCUGAUGGGUGUAAUAAAAAAAACUGUUGGGAUAUCAUCAUGGCUUUUCGGAUGUAAACAUUAUUAUCAAUACAAACUGUAAGCAGGAAUAUAGCUGGAAAUCAAAUAUUUAACAGCUAUUCUUUUUCUUUUUUUUUAGUUUCUUUUAUUGCACUCUUAUCCACAACCGGAAUAGUUCCCGGAUGAUGUGCCAAUCGAAUAAGAAUCCUCACCAACAAAACAGCUGCUUUCGUUGCAGUGUUUUGUAGCGUUUCAAAGAACAUUCUUUCUGCUGGAAGCUGUGACGAAGAACCUGUUGACGCAACAGCACAGUAUUUUCUAGAAUCAAGAUGAUGUUGGGUUAGUUUUGUGGCAAAAUUGUACUGUCUUGUCUGGUGUGAAACAAAACAAGUAAACUUCCCCUUCGUCAGACCAUUAGCUUUUCUUCCUUCACUGUUAACCUUAGUUUUGUAUUCUUACGCGAUAGAUAGUCGGGUAAACAACGUGUAAAAAGAUUUGAAUUUUUUUAUCAGACCGUUUUCAAAUUUUUGAAGGAUGUCAAAGAUAUAGUUGACGUUUGAUAACUGCAACAUGUUAACGUUUCACUUCGGAAUUUAACUUCAUGAGUCUUCGAUGCUCGAUGCUCCAUCAACAACAUUAUGUUAUUUCCAACACAUUUGUAUAUCCUAAAAACAAUCACUCACUUGAUUGGACGAACAGUUUGAAAGUUAUAGGAAGAUUGUGAACUUCAUUUUGUAGAAACAAAUGAUGUUUCUAACGUGAAAUGAUGAUAAUGGGUUGUUUUAUCGAUAAACUCUAAGUAAGAGCAAAGAAAUAAAACUUUGGAAAAAGUAAAUUCUCAGUUUGUUUAUUGUUUUAAACAAGCGUCAUAUCUACGUGAGCAUCCGCAUCAACCAGAUUCGGAUUUCCUUUAUAGUGCUUUAUCUGACGAUAGCGAUCGCCAUCGAUUCAAUACAAAUCGAUAUCAAAAACCACUCACUGAUUGACCGGGAUAUUUCAGGAAAUUUGGCCGAUAAAACCCUCAAGACGAAGAGAACAAACCUGACGAUAAUACCCAAAAGUCUUCUUAAACGAAGGAUAUUGCAUGUGCUGCAAUUUGCGACCGGACGAACAAUGUUUACAUUACAUGGAACUACGUUUAGUAUGCCUUCCAAUAUUUUUGAGUUGGAUUUUACACAAAUGACGUAUCUUUACACGCGAAAAUAUUAGAUUACUGCUGUUCUAUUUUCGCCAAAAAGUAUACCAAGUAGUGAAUGCUAUUGAACAUGGAGAAAGCAAAAUUGGAACCAAAUCAUUAUAACGUGGAAUUUGUUUAUUCUACUAUUUUGUUUCGACCUUAGAGAGCAUCUGUUAAGUACGUCACGCUAAAAUUGGAAAUUUUCAACCCUCCCUGGCUCCUUCAAACGUGACGAUAAACUUAAUGGAUGACCCCUUAUGUGAUAGAUUCCAUUUCAUUGCAUAAAAUUAAAAAAAAAAUGUGGAAUAUAACUAAAUUAUAUCUACAGCUGUUAUCAUAUCUGCAUUUGAUAUAAUUGUGAUAGAUUAAAACAAAAUCACUAACGACAAAACAAGGCUAUUAUACGUCAACGAGUUCAAUGUGACGUCAUACUACCCCGCUCGUGUGCGUCUGACAAACAAGGAUUUGAAUGAGGAAACUGGCAAUACGUAGAAACAGUAAAGCUUCUAUCACCGUUCUCUUCAAGUGUUGUGAUGGCCUCAUUGGCAGAGGCGUCAGAUUGCUACCGAUGGUGGGUGUCUUGGUUCAAAUCCCGUUCGGAUUCGAAAAUUUUAUAACGUACUGGAAACUUUCUUUUAUGUCACCUACUUUUUCUAAAAAUAGAAUAACACACUUAAAAAUAUUUACCCAAAAAUGAGUAUAAAAAUUUAGUUUUUACCCUAAAAGGUUGCAAAGGAAUUAUAGCACAAUUUGUUAUAAUUUUGUUAAAUUCUACCAUAUUUCAUGGAACAGGUUUUGUAAUAUUUUUGUUACGAUCAUAACAAAAUUUAUUACAUUUUUGUUCUUUUCAUAUGGCAACUUUGUUAGAAUUUCUGUUAUUUUAACUACUAACGGUACAUGUUUUAUAACAACCCUUGUUAUAAAAAAUUAUUGUAACAAAAUAACACAGCUUGUUAUAAUUUUGUAAUGUCCAUCUAGUCGGGUAUGCAACAACACAUUAUUUUCUCUAUUUCAUCAUUUACCUUCUUUUUAUCAAAAGCUGUUCAUGUGUUGUACGGUUUGCGGCGAACAAAUUGAUAACUUUAUAGAAUAUUUAACCUUCUUCCGAUAAUAGGCUGUUCUUUUAAGUUACACUGUUGAAAAUUUUGGCUGACUAUCAACCUGGUAACUUCAUCUGAAUGAGUUUUUUUUGGUAGCUAGGCUGCUGAUCCUACUGUUUUUAUGCUUUUUUAAAAGAGUUGUUCUUUUGAAUUGCACUGUUAUGUUGUUUAUCGGCGGUCUAACUGCUCACUGCGUAGGAGAUUUGUUCUUCUUCUUUAAAUAGGCUGUUCUUUCAAUUAACACUUGCUGGUGAACAAACUGAUAUCAACAUCUAAGAUUGUUCCUUCUUUUAUUCAUAUUUUCAUGAAAAGGUACGUCGCUAUUGAAACUUGUUGGUGCACAAAUUGACAUGUCACGCUCUAUCUGCCGAGCGAUUACUUCACCUUCUUCGCGACCAAGUUGUUCCAACCCACGACCAGCACACAGUGAAACCAGAAAUUUCCACGAUGAGUUAGACAGGAUGCAACUGGAAUUCACCGAAGUGUUCAAUUCGUUCAUCAACAAUGAUGCACCCGCAACUGCCAACAAACGCGACCGCACUUCCAGCUCAACUUCUUCGUUUUUAAGAAACGACAAGCGAAUGAGAGUUGACGUUUCAGUUGGUACAUCCGAUUAUAGCGAUACUAUAGUUCCACUUAUUGCAGAUGCUGACGAUGUUGCUUCGCGGGUAAACCUAGCUACCGUUGAGCCAUCUCAGCGAAACGCCAAUCUUCCGACCUCUAAAGGUGCCAGUAUCAACCAAGGAAUCAUUACAACUAUCACAACUGCCUCCUCCUCCUCUACUACUGCCACCACCGCUACCACCUCCGCCGCUGCUGCUGCCACAAUAAACCUCGCCACAAGAAUCAAUGAAAUUUCUAGCAAUACACCGAUUGCCACACCCGCCACCACUCAAGCCACCAAUCCUGCAUACCUCGCCUAAACUUCUCUGCAAAAUGUCGAACAUCGGACCGAACCAAUGAUCGCCACACGUACCACUUAGCUCCCACCGAAUCAACCAAGCUCUUCAUCAAUGAACAUUCCCUCCACGCAUACUGACUUACUACCUCACCAUCAAACUACCUUCUCUUCAAUCAACACAACGAGCUUCUCCAAUGCCGCAACGUAGUGCUUCUGCCUCAUCGACUACGGUAAGCAUCUCCACUAAUGCUGCUCCAGCCGUGAUCUCGCAAGCACAACCUACGAUGUCCAGUAGUAUGGAACAAACAUCAAAUUCUCGCUCCAGUCGACUUUUUUGAUUCCAUUUAGGUCCCAUAUGAACUGUGCAAAAUUUCAGCGCAAUCGGUGAAACUAUAAUUUAGCGCAAGCGGUUCAAAGUUUUCAUAGGAUUUACUAUGGGAAAAGUUGCACUUUCAAUCAAAAAAUCCCAGAGGUCGCCCUUUGUCUCCUUAAUUCAAAUCGAUCAACGUUUCUUGUAGAAAAAUCAUUUGUGAAACUUUCCUUCGAAGACCGCAAAACGAUUGGAUGCUUGUGGAAAAAGUUAUUGAUUUAUUACCGAUUAGUGAUCCAACGAACGGCUUUUUGUUUUGUUUUAUUAGCAGCACUGUAGCUGCUGCCUUGGCUGCUGCUGUUUCUGGGGGUGGUGAUGCCUCCCGCCACCCCAUGCAACAACGGCAGCAGCAGUGCUCACUAUUUGCUUAUUUUACUCGUUUUCGACGUUUUGUCCCCUGUAAAGUUUUGGCAUUCAACGAUUUGUCUUUCGAAAUGUCUGUCCUUAAGCCGUAAAAUCCAAUAGGUACCUAAAACCUGGAUGAGAUAUAGAAGAGCCCUGCAUAAGAUGUAAAAUACCUAAAAUAAUAGCUGGUGUUUUUCUAACGUAUGCAACAGUUUUCGUAAAUACAUAUCAUGAAUUUUACGCAUCUUUGAUAUUUGAAUGUUGCCAAAAUUAUGUUGCCCUACGUGAAUGGUCAUCAGCGACCAUCGAUCAUUUUUGAAAGACUUUAGGUUGGUGUAGUUAAAUGCUAUCUCAUUUCUGAAUGCCUACAUCCCAUAGAAACUUCUGCGCACGCCAACGAAUAAGAAUCUUCAUUGAACUCCGGCACUGCCACUUAUGAUGGACCUUACACUAUCAAUUUGUUAAAGAACCUAAUUAGCAAAUUAUCGCAGGCAGAAGCCAUUCGUUCGCUUUUUCGGAACUGGAAGAUAAGAGAGAUGUGCGAAUGAUGACUCGUCGUCGUCUUUGAACAGUCGAAAGUGUCCAAAUGAGCAGCUGGUUAGGUUGUUCCUAAAAAAAAACUAAUGCAAUUCGGCCACGUUACGACUCCGUUUUUGUUGAGAUCUGUUAUCUGUUAGGUUCUGCCGAUUAACUCGUCGUUUGGUGGUAACCUCUGGUGGCGCACAGAAUAACGACACUACUUAUGAGAGCGCAGUGUGUAACGAAAAGGUGCUAACUGUUUUCAGUUCAACAAUAUUUGAGCACUGCAUCCGGGGAAAAAAUGAUUCUUCGGCUCACAAUGCUUAGGGUUCCAUUUUCAACAAGUUGCGAUACUUGCGUUGUUUUUUUAUUAUUUAUAUCAAUACCAUAAUUUGAGUUUACGAGCAUUGUUGCCGCGACCACUGUGUAGUGCGGCAGUUGGUCAAGUGUGUGAAACAACCGACUCAUCUUUGCGCACCGAUACAUCGGAGUAAUUUCGAUUGUGGCUGACAUUCGGGGGCUUAUUGUAUGCAUGUGGUAUACACAUCCACUCGUUGUCAUUUACCCUAAGCCAGUUCAGUAUGCUAUUCAGUUGCGAUCAUGUAGUAGGUGAUAAGCAAUAAUGUUUCAAUUAAUUUCCUAAAGCUAGUUUCAGUAGUUUAGUUGAUUAGUUUGUGCCGAGCAGUACACAGUUUUUGAAGUUUAUCGAUUGUAUUAGAGGAAUUAGUAUCGUAGAAGAAAACAGAAAUCUUUGAAGCUGUCAGUUCGACUACUCCAAAACUGUUUCAAUCCUACAAGUUACGCCAACAUCCUUCAAAGAUUUCUGAUCCAGAGUUGGACAGAAGUCUUUCCCUAGAAGUAUCGAAAAACGUACUGCAAGGAAUGCAAGAUCGACAAUCUGAAACAUCUUAUUCCACCAGUGAGACCGCAACAGUAUAGUAUGUUCUGCAGUAAAGAGCAGGUACUGUAUGUAUGAUUGAUUCGUAGUCAGAAUCAAUUACAGCUUCUCUUGGUGUGUUGUCAAGCGAACACAUUGUAUUCGCACAUCAGAGCACAGUGGUCUAGAUGCACUGUGGAUGAUUAUUGAAGUCAGAUAAUCAUUUGCCGCAGUAUGGCAUCUGAAAUGGAUAAUAAUUGGACCAAAACAAAGUCUUCACGGAUUCAGCUUGAGUUGGAGUGGUUACAACUUCAAGCACAUUUCCAGUUGAAGGCGAUUGAAGCAGAGAAGGACUUCCUCAGGAAGAAGUGUGAACUGCUGCAGCAAUUAAGAAAUGCUAGAAGUCGAACGAGCCAUCAGUGCAUAACCAGAUAUCACGAAGUAUGUGAUUCGCGGUUGGAAACAAGAUUGAAUGCAACAGUGACAGUCUCUACUGAUGAAAACUCUUCAUCUACAUCUGCGACACCAGUCGUGUCGACCAACACAGUGGUUCCGAAUAGUCCGGCUUGUUCCAGUAAGCAAGGCAAAUUUUCUUCGAUGGCACAGUCCGCCUGGAAACUAAUCAUGGGGUCUUCAGAAACUAAACGUGUUUCAACAAAAGCGGUAUCAGUUGGGAUAGUAGCGUCCACGGUUUCUGAAUUACUAUUAGAUAGGUCAGCGCCCAUAAGUAUAGCGUGCACAUAUCGAGUGAAACAUGAACAAGUGCAGAACUCAUGGAUAAAAGGACUUGUUACAGCGGCCAAUUGCAGACCAACCAAUAGUAACGGAAGAAUGGACGAUGUUUCGGGAGUCAGCGUUUUGCACUACAGAUUACGCGGUUGUUCACGGGGAGGAGAAUGUUGCCGCGACCACUGUGUAGUGCGGCAGUUGGUCAAGUGUGUGAAACAAUCGACUCAUCUUUGCGCACCGAUACAUCGGAGUAAUUUCGAUUGUGGCUGACAUUCGGGGGCUUAUUGUAUGCAUGUGGUAUACACAUCCACUCGUUGUCAUUUACCCUAAGCCAGUUCAGUAUGCUAUUCAGUUGCGAUCACGUAGUAGGUGAUAAGCAAUAAUGUUUCAAUUAAUUUCCUAAAGCUAGUUUCAGUAGUUUAGUUGAUUAGUUUGUGCCGAGCAGUACACAGUUUUUGAAGUUUAUCGAUUGUAUUAGAGGAAUUAGUAUCGUAGAAGAAAACAGAAAUGUAUGGAUUAUUUGUGCUAAAUUUGAUGAACUAAUUUGAUUAACGGUUAAAUAUAUUUGCAGCUUUGAAGCUGUCAGUUCGACUA